GUUGUAAAGCACUAAAGCGACGAGAGGCUACUUAAGAUAAUACCUAGAGAUAGUGGACGUUACUCGCAAAAUAAGCACCGGCUAACUCUGUGCCAGCAGCCGCGGUAAUACAGAGGGUGCAAGCGUUAAUCGGAUUUACUGGGCGUAAAGCGCGCGUAGGCGGCUAAUUAAGUCAAAUGUGAAAUCCCCGAGCUUAACUUGGGAAUUGCAUUCGAUACUGGUUAGCUAGAGUGUGGGAGAGGAUGGUAGAAUUCCAGGUGUAGCGGUGAAAUGCGUAGAGAUCUGGAGGAAUACCGAUGGCGAAGGCAGCCAUCUGGCCUAACACUGACGCUGAGGUGCGAAAGCAUGGGGAGCAAACAGGAUUAGAUACCCUGGUAGUCCAUGCCGUAAACGAUGUCUACUANGCCGUUGGGGCCCUUUGAAGGCUUUAGNUUUUGGGCGCAAGGCCUUUAAAACGGCCGAAUUUAAAAAGUUAAGAACCCGGGCCCUGGGGGGGAAGUAACCGGUCGGCAAGAACUAAAAACUCAAAUGAAUUGACGGGGGCCCGCACAAGCGGUGGAGCAUGUGGGUUAAUUCGAUGCAACGC
rnacentral:rRNA from 1 species